GAGGAAAGUCCGUGCUCCAUAGGGCAGGAUGCUGGAUAACGUCCAGUGGGGGCGACCCUAAGGAUAGUGCAACAGAAAGAUACCGCCUAAUUUAAUAUUAGGUAAGGGUGGAAAGGUGAGGUAAGAGCUCACCAGCGGUUAGGUGACUAACUGGCUCUGUAAACCCCAUCUGGAGCAAGACCAAGAAGGGACUGAAAAAGGUGGUAGCCCGCCGCCGUCCCAAUGGUAGGUCGCAGGAACCUAUUGGUAACAAUAGGUCAUAGAUAGAUGAUCAUCUAAGACAGAACACGGCUUA
rnacentral:RNase_P_RNA from 1 species